CACGUAGGGUGCGAGCGUUGUCCGGAAUUAUUGGGCGUAAAGAGCUCGUAGGCGGUGUGUCGCGUCGGCCGUGAAAACCUGCAGCUUAACUGUGGGCUUGCGGUCGAUACGGGCAUCACUGGAGUUCGGCAGGGGAGACUGGAAUUCCUGGUGUAGCGGUGAAAUGCGCAGAUAUCAGGAGGAACACCGGUGGGCGAAGGCG
rnacentral:rRNA from 1 species